rnacentral:siRNA from 1 species
AGGUGCGCUGACGUGGCUGU